CCUACGGGAGGCUGCAGUGAGGAAUAUUGGUCAAUGGACGAGAGUCUGAACCAGCCAAGUAGCGUGAAGGAUGACUGCCCUAUGGGUUGUAAACUUCUUUUAUAUGGGAAUAAAAUGUUCCACGUGUGGGAUUUUGUAUGUACCAUAUGAAUAAGGAUCGGCUAACUCCGUGCCAGCAGCCGCGGUAAUACGGAGGAUCCGAGCGUUAUCCGGAUUUAUUGGGUUUAAAGGGAGCGUAGGUGGAUUGUUAAGUCAGUUGUGAAAGUUUGCGGCUCAACCGUAAAAUUGCAGUUGAAACUGGCAGUCUUGAGUACAGUAGAGGUGGGCGGAAUGCGUGGUGUAGCGGUGAAAUGCUUAGAUAUCACGAAGAACUCCGAUUGCGAAGGCAGUUCACUGGACUGCAACUGACACUGAGGCUCGAAAGUGUGGGUAUCAAACAGUAUUAGAUACCCGGGUAGUC
rnacentral:rRNA from 1 species